UUCCCAAAUUUUUGAGAACUCGAUAGCGGAAGCAACAAACAGUUCAAGGAGGAUCGAACCCUGCUCUUGAUGCCAUGUUAGAAUUAGAGAUACACAAAUAGGAAAAGAGAAAGACGGCUAGGGUUUCAAUAGAAUACCAAUAGCUUGACAUUACAAAAAGGUUACUAGAGAAUAUAUAAUAAAACCUAAUGGACUCUAAACUAACAG
rnacentral:lncRNA from 1 species